rnacentral:rRNA from 1 species
ACGGGAGGCAGCAGUGGGGAAUAUUGCACAAUGGGCGGAAGCCUGAUGCAGCGACGCCGCGUGAGGGAUGACGGCCUUCGGGUUGUAAACCUCUUUCAGCAGGGACGAAGCGUAAGUGACGGUACCUGCAGAAGAAGCGCCGGCCAACUACGUGCCAGCAGCCGCGGUAAGACGUAGGGCGCGAGCGUUGUCCGGAUUUAUUGGGCGUAAAGAGCUCGUAGGCGGCUUGUCGCGUCGACUGUGAAAACCCGCGGCUCAACUGCGGGCUUGCAGCCGAUACGGGCAGGCUAGAGUUCGGUAGGGGAGACUGGAAUUCCUGGUGUAGCGGUGAAAUGCGCAGAUAUCAGGAGGAACACCGGUGGCGAAGGCGGGUCUCUGGGCCGAUACUGACGCUGAGGAGCGAAAGCGUGGGGAGCGAACAGGAUUAGAUACCCUGGUA